AAUAAGUGCGGACGUGUCCGUUUUGUAUGUACCUUAUGAAUAAGGAUCGGCUAACUCCGUGCCAGCAGCCGCGGUAAUACGGAGGAUCCGAGCGUUAUCCGGAUUUAUUGGGUUUAAAGGGUGCGUAGGCGGCCUUUUAAGUCAGCGGUGAAAGUCUGUGGCUCAACCAUAGAAUUGCCGUUGAAACUGGGGGGCUUGAGUAUGUUUGAGGCAGGCGGAAUGCGUGGUGUAGCGGUGAAAUGCAUAGAUAUCACGCAGAACCCCCGAUUGCGAAGGCAGCCUGCCAAGCCAUGACUGACGCUGAUGCACGAAAGCGUGGGGAUCAAACAGGAUUAGAUACCCUGGUAGUCCACGCAGUAAACGAUGAUCACUAGCUGUUUGCGAUACACUGUAAGCGGCACAGCGAAAGCGUUAAGUGAUCCACCUGGGGAGUACGCCGGCAACGGUGAAACUCAAAGGAAUUGACGGGGGC
rnacentral:rRNA from 1 species